UACGUAGGGUGCAAGCGUUAAUCGGAAUUACUGGGCGUAAAGCGUGCGCAGGCGGUUGUGUAAGACAGAUGUGAAAUCCCCGGGCUCAACCUGGGAAUGGCAUUUGUGACUGGAAGGCUAGAGUGUGUCAGAGGGGGGUAGAAUUCCACGUGUAGCAGUGAAAUGCGUAGAGAUGUGGAGGAAUACCGAUGGCGAAGGCAGCCCCCUGGGAUAACACUGACGCUCAUGCACGAAAGCGUGGGGAGCAAACAGG
rnacentral:rRNA from 1 species